rnacentral:lncRNA from 12 species
AUGGGCAAAAUCGUGGGAAGAGAAGCCACCGUUUUAUUCCAACACUUGCUGAAGCUGGGAUGCAUCACCUGUUAUCCGCUGUGGUCCUCCUCAGGGACUACAGGUAUUCACUUCUCAUACGACAUGCUGCUCAAAGGAGGCCAGCUGGUCAGUGAUCAGAUUUUCAUUCCAAGGACAUUACUCUGGAACAUAUUGUUGCUGUCUUCUGGGUAAAUUUCACCUUCAUAAAGCCAGAACCAUUCAUUGCAAACCUAACUUUUGAAUGUUUUUGUCUGAUAUAAAGUCUCUUUUUACUUCCUUUAAGAAACUCAAUAUACUGUAUAUUAAGUGCUUUCAAACCAUUUCCCUUAUGAUGGUGUUACUGUAAGCACCACUGACU